UCUGCGCCGCGAGAUCGAGAAUGUCCAUCUCUAUGCGGCUCGCGAUCCCUGCUCCUGCCGUCACCGACGCCGCGCCGACACGGCUGAGGGUGCGAGUGGCAGCGACGGGGAACGACGGCUCUCUCCCCGUCGCGCGCGCCGCCGUGCAGGCGGAGACGGGCGCGCUCAGGUGAGGCUGAGGCCGAGGGCGCGACGGCUGUGCGUUCUCGGCGAAACUAAACCUGCAACUUUCAUGGGACCAUUGAUCAGACGCGCAUUUCUGCAGGGGAUGCGCCUCGCUGCCAUCGAAGCCGCUGGGAGCGGCCCAGCCGUGCCGGAGCAGGGGGGCGCCGUCGUGUGUCACUCGUCGGCGCACCUCAGCGUGCGCACCAUCCAGUGGAUCUCCGCCGGAACCAUCGCAGUGCUAUUAGUUGCUAAAGGCACUGCCAUACACAAAUCUUUCCUUGUGCCAUUUUUUGCUCUUCAGACACCUUGCUGCAUAAUCUCAUGGAUCAAGGGUGACUAUGGUCAGUGGACUGCUUUUCUUUCUCUGUUGGUGCGUCUAUUCUUCUUCAUUCCAGGUGAACUGGAGCUUCCACUGUCAACAAUGCUGCUUGUGAGUGUUGCUCCUUACCAAUUCAUGGAUCUGAGGGGAACUCAAGGUGGUGUCGUAAUGUCACUGGUCAUAGCUGCGUAUCUCGCCUUCCAGCACUUCACUAGGGUGGGCGGCCCAGGCAAAGCCUUCGAGCAAGGAUCCAUUGUUGCGACCUUGGCCAUCAUUUGCAUCAUGAUUGUGCCCUUGAUGUUGCUAUUCUGAUUUGCAAUGAGUUGGAAUGAAUUUGCUUCUCAUUAUGUGCGUAUAUAAGGACAAAUAAAUUUAACCUU